rnacentral:rRNA from 1 species
AUGAUGAAGCUGGCCAAGGUCCUUCACCGCAAGGGCUUCCAUAUCACCUUCGUCAACACGGAGUAUAACCAACGCCGCCUCAUCCGUUCCCGCGGCCCUGACGCCAUAGCCGGCCUCCCGGACUUCUGCUUCGCCACCAUUCUGGACGACAUGCCCUUGUCUGACGCUGAUGCCACGCAAGACCCAGCAUCGCUUUGCUAUUCCACCAUGACCACCUGCCUCCCCCACCUGAAGUACCUGCUCCACGACCUCAACAACAAAUCAGCGACGCCGCUGGUAAGGUGUGUCGUGACGGACGGCCUCAUGAGCCUUAGUGUUGAUGCUGCUGCGGAUAUCGGCGUUCCCUGCGUGUUGUUCUGGACUUCCAGUGCCUGCGGUUACAUGGGCUACCACAGCUUUUGGUUCCUCAUAGAUGAGGGUCUUACUCCUCUCAAAGACGAAGAGCAAGUAAAGAACGGGUACUUGGACACGCCGGUGGCACAGGCACGUGGGAUGAGCAAGCACAUGCAUCUCCGAGACUUCUCAUCCUUCAUCCGCACGACGGACCCUGGCGACGUGAUGUUCAACUUCCUCAAGCAUGAGGUCGAGCAGUCGGACCGUGCGGCCGCGGUCAUCCUCAACACCUUUGACGAGCUUGAGCAGACGGCUCUGGACGCCAUGUGUUCCAUCCUCCCUCUGCCCAUCUACAUCAUCAGCCCACUUAACUUCCUCACUGAGCAGCUGGCGACCAAGGGCAGGUGCCUUCUUGCGAGCUGGUGCGAGCAGGAGGCGGUGUUGCGGCACGAGGCAGUGGGCGCCUUCUUGACACACUGCGGGUGGAACUCGAUGAUGGAGGGCAUUAGUGUCGGGGUGCCAAUGCUGUGUUGGCCCUUCUUCGCUGAGCAGCAAACCAAUUCCCGCUACGCGUGUGUGGAGUGGGGCGUUGGGAUGGAAGUUGGCGAUGACGUGCGCCGGGAGGCGGUCGAGGCGAGGAUAAGGGAGGUGAUGGGAGGAGAAGGGGUGGGGAAAGAAAUGAGGCGGAAGGCGGCGGAGUGGAGCGAGAUAGCCGUUCGUGCGACAACACAACCUGGUGGCAGGUCGUUGGCCAACCUCGAGAGUCUGUUCAAGGAUGUACUACUGAUCGCCACUGAGAAUGCUGAGUAG